CGCCGUGCCGUCCGUGGGCAGGAGGCGCAGGAGUCGGCGGACCGCGCAGCGCGCAGACACGGGCCCGUCAGAGGGGUGUCAGCCCAAGCUUGUCAGAACAGACUCCCGGACGAGGGGGAGACCUGGGGGCCAGCAGGGCCUGGCAAAACCUGUUUAAACAUCAGUGGGUCCUGACUGCAGCCGGCACAGAGCGCUCUGCUGUUCAGGACGCAGGUGCCCUGGGAGGGAGCGAAGAGCAGCUUCCGAGAGCCGCGCCCAGGCGCCCACUCCUUCACUCCUGGGGCGGACGUGCGGAAGGUGAUGAGGCCGUAGAAGCAGGCGGGCUGCCCCGUCUGCCCGCCCCGUUACAGCGGCAGCUUUCAGAGGCAGGGGGGCUGUGGCAGCAGCAGGCAGAAGGAGGCAGGCCCGGGCUCUGCCUUAUUACCAACAGAUGCUUGUGACAGAUCUAUGUGUAGCCUCUCCACGCGCUGUCCUGCAUUUCCAAGAGAUGGUGUCCAGGAGGAGGUAUCUGUCAAGUAGAAGACAAAAGGGCUAUUGGCCAGGGGGCUGGACACUGAGGAGAAGAGCCCACGUCUGGGGUCUGGACGCCGCAGGGGCAGCACCA
rnacentral:lncRNA from 1 species